GAACGCGAUGGAUACGGAACGGAUCGGCUCCGGAACAAGUGACGCCACAAUUCACUUAAUUGAACACAACGAACAUAAGAUAGAUCGUCUCCGUAACGAGGAGUGUCGCGGCUGAUAUAUUUGAUUGUAAUGUUUCGUAAUCGACCGUGAUAUUACAAACGUCUGCCGAUAUUGUUAAUAAAUCGGUAACGAAGGAGGGUGUCUCCUUUUCAGUCUCUGGCUAAUAGUCAGAAUGGAUUUGGCCAGGAAUAACAA